GACGAACGCUGGCGGCGUGCCUAAUACAUGCAAGUUGAGCACUGAAGGUUGGUACUUGUACCAACUGGAUGAGCAGCGAACGGGUGAGUAACGCGUGGGGAAUCUGCCUUUGAGCGGGGGACAACAUUUGGAAACGAAUGCUAAUACCGCAUAAAAACUUUAAACACAAGUUUUAAGUUUGGAAGAUGCAAUUGCAUCACUCAAAGAUGAUCCCGCGUUGUAUUAGCUAGUUGGUGAGGUAAAGGCUCACCAAGGCGAUGAUACAUAGCCGACCUGAGAGGGUGAUCGGCCACAUUGGGACUGAGACACGGCCCAAACUCCUACGGGAGGCAGCAGUAGGGAAUCUUCGGCAAGGGACGAAAGUCUGACCGAGCAACGCCGCGUGAGUGAAGAAGGUUUUCGGAUCGUAAAACUCUGUUGGUAGAGAAGAACGUUGGUGAGAGUGGAAAGCUCAUCAAGUGACGGUAACUACCCAGAAAGGGACGGCUAACUACGUG
rnacentral:rRNA from 1 species